rnacentral:rRNA from 1 species
UACGUAGGUGGCAAGCGUUGUCCGGAAUGACUGGGCGUAAAGGGUGCGUAGGCGGCUUAUUAAGUUAGAAGUGUAAUACCUGGGCUUAACCUAGGUGCUACUUCUAAGACUGGUGAGCUUGAGUGUGGGAGAGGUAAGUGGAAUUCCUAGUGUAGCGGUGGAAUGCGUAGAUAUUAGGAGGAACACCAGUGGCGAAGGCGACUUACUGGACCAUAACUGACGCUGAGGCACGAAAGCGUGGGUAGCAAAC